rnacentral:rRNA from 1 species
UACGUAGGUGCGAGCGUUAAUCGGAAUUACUGGGCGUAAAGCGCACGUAGGCGGCUUUUCAAGUCAGGGGUGAAAUCCCGGGGCGUCAACCUCGGAACUGCCCUUGAAACUGGAAGGCUAGAAUCCUGGAGAGGCGAGUGGAAUUCCGAGUGUAGAGGUGAAAUUCGUAGAUAUUCGGAAGAACACCAGUGGCGAAGGCGACUCGCUGGACAGGUAUUGACGCUGAGGUGCGAAAGCUGGGGGA